AUUGAACGCUGGCGGCAGGCUUAACACAUGCAAGUCGAGCGGAGCGAGGGUGCUUGCACCUUAGCUUAGCGGCGGACGGGUGAGUAAUGCUUAGGAAUCUGCCUAUUAGUGGGGGACAACAUUCCGAAAGGAAUGCUAAUACCGCAUACGCCCUACGGGGGAAAGCAGGGGAUCUUCGGACCUUGCGCUAAUAGAUGAGCCUAAGUCGGAUUAGCUAGUUGGUGGGGUAAAGGCCUACCAAGGCGACGAUCUGUAGCGGGUCUGAGAGGAUGAUCCGCCAAACUGGGACUGAGACACGGCCCAGACUCCUACGGGAGGCAGCAGUGGGGAAUAUUGGACAAUGGACGGAAGCCUGAUCCAGCCAUGCCGCGUGUGUGAAGAAGGCCUUUUGGUUGUAAAGCACUUUAAGCGAGGAGGAGGCUACUUAGAUUAAUACUCUGGGAUAGUGGACGUUACUCGCAGAAUAAGCACCGGCUAACUCUGUGCCAGCAGCCGCAGUAAUAC
rnacentral:rRNA from 1 species